rnacentral:rRNA from 1 species
GAUAAACGCUGGCGGCGCACAUAAGACAUGCAAGUCGAACGGAAGUCGUUAUAAAAAGGAUUGGAGAUUUAUCUGAUUGAGAUUUUAUAACAAUGGCUUUAGUGGCGGACUGGUGAGUAACGCGUGAGUAACCUGCCUACUAGAGGGGAAUAACAGUGAGAAAUCAUUGCUAAUACCGCAUAUGCCAUGAACAUCACAUGAUGAAAAUGGGAAAAGAGUAAUCUGCUAGUAGAUGGGCUCGCGUCCGAUUAGCUGGUUGGUGAGGUAACGGCCCACCAAGGCGACGAUCGGUAGCCGGACUGAGAGGUUGAACGGCCACAUUGGGACUGAGACACGGCCCAG